GUCUAGUUUUACACAUGUUGCUGUUAUUUAUUUCUAGAUCUGAAUGUGGUCCUGCUGGGAAAAAGAGGAGCAGGGAAAAGUGCAUCAGGAAACACAAUCCUGGGAAGACAAGUUUUCAUCUCCAAGAAAAGUGCCAGACCAGUCACACGAGACGUCAAUGUGGAGUCUGGAUCAUUCUGUGAACUACCAGUCACUGUUUACGACACUCCAGGAUUGUUUGACACAAAGCUGAGGGAUGAAGAGAUUCAGCAGAUGAUCAGUGAGAAGGUCCUCCAGAAAUGUUCAUCAGGUCUGUGUGUGUUUCUGCUGGUCAUCAGAGCUGACAGAUUCACUGAAGAAGAGAGAAAAACUGUGGAGAAGAUUGAGAAGAUCCUGGGAGAAAAACACCAGAAAAACACCUGGAUUCUGUUCACUGGAGGAGACGAACUGGAGGAAGAAAACACGACAAUACAGGAGUUCAUAGAGGAGACUGAAGAACUGAAGACACUCGUGCAGAAAUAUGAGCACCGAUACCAUCUGUUCAACAACAAGAGGAAGAUGAAAAGGACGAGUGUACAAGUAAAGGCGCUCUUCACAAAAAUACUGAAGAAUUACUCUGACACAGCGGCAGGAGCAGAGAAUCUAUUGAGAAAAAUACCAGCAAAUAUUGAGCCAGUCCCUCGUGUCUCCAGUCCUCCCUCCAGACGGAUUGUUCUUGUGGGUAAAUCUGGUGUUGGUAAAAGUGCAGCUGGAAACACAAUCCUGGGACAGAAAGAGUUCAGAUCUGUGAGGAGGAUGAGUUCAGUAACCUGUAAAUCUUCAGCAGCUCAGACCACAGUUUCAGGCAGAUCUGUAUCUGUAGUCGACACUCCUCCAUUAUUCGACACACAGAUGAAUCCUGAAGAGUUAAUGAUGGAGAUCGCCAGAAGUGUGUAUAUCUCCAGUCCUGGACCUCACGCUUUCCUCAUUGUGUUUCCUGUCAACAUGAGAUUCACUGAACGGGAGCUGCAGAUUCUUCAGAAGAUUGAGCUGAUGUUUGGUGAAGAAGUGUUGAAAUACUCCAUCAUUCUCUUCACUCAUGGAGAUCUGCUGGAUGGAGAGCCUGUAGAGAAGCUGAUAGAGGAGAACAGUGGAUUAAGAUCUGUAGUCCAGCAGUGUGGAGGCAGAUAUCAUGUGUUCAACAACAGAGAUGAGGAGAACAGAGAGCAGGUGGAGGAUCUACUGCAGAAGACUGAGUUAAUGAUACAGCAGAAUGGAGGAGGACACUACACUAACCAGAUGUUUGAAGACGCUCAGAGAUUCAGACGAGAGGAAGAAGAGCAGAGACAGAGAGAAGAAGAGGAGAGAAAACUACAAGAGGAGAAACAAAUACAAGAGGAGAUUAAAAGAGUGAGAAAGGAGACAGAGGAGAGAGUCAGAGCAGAAAUGGAAGCUAAAAAUCUUAAAGCAGAGAGACCGAGUGAGGAAGAACAGAGAAGACGAGAGAAACAAAGACAAAAGGAGAUUGAGAGAGAGAAAAAAAAUACUAAGGAGAGGGUUAGAAAAGAAAUGCAAGCUGUAAAUGAUAUAGAGGAGAGAAUCAAGGGUGAAGAUCGAGUGAGAAAACAAAGCCAAAACUGUGUGUGUAGUUGAUCGUCUUUUGAUUGUUUGACACAGUGAUGGAGUGAAUAACAGAGAGCAGGUGACUGAGGAGGACUCGAGGCCUCAGUUUCAUCUAACAUCAAUUAAAACACAACACACAUUAAUAAGUUGAACUCAGACACUGCUCUGUCCUAUCACAGUAUAUUUGUUGUUUUCAUAUGCACCAGACACUCUCUUAUCAAUACUUCAUCUUUCUGUAAAACAGUGUGAUUAACUAAUCCUGCUGCUCUCUGCUGAUCUGAAGCGCUGCUUUAUCUUCAUUUGUAAAUCCCCCACAGUCCAAACACCUGCGCUUUAGGGGAUCUGAUGUACUAAACUGGCUCAAGUGAAUGAGUGUGUGGAGGUGACGCUGUGGCGCAGUAGGAAGUGCUGUCGCCUCACAGCAAGAGGGUUGCUGGUUCGAGCCUCAGCUGGGUCAUUUGGUGUUUCUGUGUGGAGUUUGCAUGUUCUCCCCAUGUUGGCGUGGGUUUCCUCCGGGUGCUCCGGUUUCCCCCACAGUCCAAACACAUGUGCUAUAGGGGAACUGGGUAGGCUAAAUUGUCCAUGGUGUAUGUGUGUGAAUGUGUGUGUGUGGAUGUUUCCCAGAAAAAAAGUGCUGGAUAAGUUGGUGGUUCAUUUCACUGUGGCGACCCGGGAUUAAUAAAGGCACUAAGGUGAAAAGAAAAUGCAUGAAUGAGAGUGUGUGUGUGUGUGUGUGCGCAUGUGGAUGUUUCCCAGUACUGGGAUCCAGCUGGAAGGGCAUCUGCUGUAUUAAAUUUAUGCUGGAUAAGUUGGUGGUUCAUUCCGCUGGGGUGACCCCUGAUUAAUAAAGAGACUAAGCCGAA
ensembl:processed_transcript